GACCGUGCGGCAGCUACCAUGCAGUCGAGCGGAUCCUUGUAGCUUGCUGCCUGACCUAGCGGCGGACGGUGGAAUCGUGCUUAUUAAUCCGCCUAUUAUCGGGGAACCUCGUUCCAAAAGGAAUGGUAAUACCGCAUACGCCCUUUUAUCGAAAUUGGGGCAUCUUCGGACCUUGCACUAAUAGAUGACCCUAAGUCAGAUUAGCUAGUUGGUGGGGUAAAGGCCUACCAAGGCGACGAUCUGUAGCGGGUCUGAAAGGACGAUCCGCCACACUGGGACUGACACACGGCCCAAACUCCUACGGGAGGCAGCAGUGGGGAAUAUUGCACGAUGGGCGAAAGCCUGAUCCCUCCAUGCCGCGUGUGUGAAUAACGCCUUUUGAUUGUAAAGCACUUUAAGCGAGGAGGACGCUACUUGUACUAAUACUCUAGGAUAGUGGACGUUACUCGCAUAAUAAGCACCGGCUAACUCUGUGCCAGCAGCCGCGGUAAUACAGAGGGUGCGAGCGUUAAUCGGAUUUACUGGCCGUAAUGCGUGUGUAUUCGACUUCUUAAGUCUUAUGUGAAAUCCCUGAACUUAACUUACCAAUUGCAUUCGAUACUGUCAAACUAGAGUAUGGGAGAGGAUGUGACAAUUCCAAGUGUAUGGGUGAAUUGCGUAGAUGUCUGGAGGAAUACCGAUGAGCAAACCAGCCUUCUGGCCUAAUACUGACACUGAGGUACGAAAGCAUGCUAGAGCAAACAGGAUUAUGUACGUCUGGUAAUCCAUGCCGUAAACUAUGUCUACUAGCUGGGUGGGGCCUUUGAGGCUUUUAGUAGCCCAACUAACUUGAAUAAGUACACCCGCCUGGGGAGUACGGUCGCAAGACUAACACUCAAACGAGUUGACGCCUUGCCCCCACAAGACGUGGAUGAAGUGGUUUAAUUCUGUGCAUCGCCCAUAAACUUAU
rnacentral:rRNA from 1 species